rnacentral:rRNA from 1 species
UACAGAGGGGGCAAGCGUUGUUCGGAUUUACUGGGCGUAAAGGGCGCGUAGGCGGCGCGGUAAGUCACUUGUGAAAUCUCUGAGCUUAACUCAGAACGGCCAAGUGAUACUGCAGUGCUAGAGUGCAGAAAGGGCAAUCGGAAUUCUUGGUGUAGCGGUGAAAUGCGUAGAUAUCAAGAGGAACACCUGAGGCGAAGGCGGGUUGCUAGGCUGACACUGACGCUGAGUGCGCGAAAGCCAGGGGAGCAAACGGG